rnacentral:rRNA from 1 species
AUGGGGAAGCCGCAGCCGAGAUCGGCCAUGGUGAAACCGUGGGGCAUCCUCUCCCGGUUCCUCCUCUUCUCUGUAGCUUUCAUGCUCGGCAUGGCGUCCACCUUCCUCCUCCAGUCACUACUCCCCACCACUGGUACCGUGAUCUGGCUUGCCUCUGCUGACCUCUCUGCGGCACCUACUUCUGCACCUCCGGGGCUGGUCCUGGGGCCGCCUCUCCCGCAGGAGCUCGGGGACGGCGAUAAAAAAGAGAGUGGCGGCGGUGGUGGAGACGAAAGCGGGGGCAUGGUGAUGCUGCACAACAUGACGGACGACCAGCUGCUGCUGCGGGCGUCUAUGGCUCCGAGGAUCAAAGGGAUCAGCUUGCUGGUGCCUCCCGCGCCUAAGGUGGCGUUCAUGUUCCUCGUGCGUGGUGAGCUGCCAUUGGCGCCGUUGUGGGAGAGGUUCUUCCAUGGGCACACUGCACUGUUCUCGGUGUACGUGCACCCUGACCCUACAUACCUCAGCUCACCGGAGAAGGGGUCGGUCUUCUACGGCCGCCGUGUGCCCAGCAAGGAAGCUCGUUGGGGGAAGUCUAGCAUAGUCGAGGCCGAGCGUCGUCUCCUCGCAAGUGCUCUCCUCGAUGCCAUGAACCAACACUUCGUCCUACUCUCUGAGACAUGUGUCCCUCUCUACAACUUCACCACGGUCUACUUCUACCUCACGCAAUACGCUGGUGCUACCUCCUUCGUCGACCACUUCGAUACACAACGUUCUCGUGGCCGCUAUAGACCUGCCAUGGCGCCCACCGUCACGCUCGCUAAUUGGCGCAAGGGCUCCCAGUGGUUCGCGACUGACCGGGGUCUCGCGCUUGAGGUCAUCAGCGACGUGACCUACUUCCCGGUUUUCCAACGCCACAGCAAUGGCCCCUGCAUCAUGGACGAGCACUACCUGCCGACAUUUAUCGCCGCCUCAAAGUGGCAUGGGAAUGCAAACCGUACACUCACGUUUACCCAGUGGACAAGGGGGCCUCAUCCUGAUAGCUACAAUGACGUAAGUGUCGACCUGCUUCAGGGGAUGAGGAACCAUGGGAACUGCAGCGACGGUGGCGGGACCACAUCGCUUUGCUACCUCUUUGCAAGGAAGUUCCCAUCGGGCGCGUUGCCGGAGCUACUCAGGCUGGCGCCCAGAGUCAUGCGGUUUGGGUGA